GAUGAACGCUGGCGGCGGGCUUAAUACAUGCAAGUCGAGGGAACAGACGAGGGGCUUGUUCCUCUGACGUUAGCGGCGGACGGGUGGGUGAGUCGUGGGUAACCUACCUGUAAGACAGGGAUAACUUCGGGAAACAGGAUCGGAUACCGGAUAAUUUAUGGAACCGGAUGGUUUAAGAGUUGAAGGCGGUUUUGCUGGCUGUUAGAGGUGGAUCCGCGCCGCAUUAGCUAGGUGGUAAGGUAACGGCUUAGCAAGGCAACGAUGCGUAGCCGACCUGAGAGGGUGAUCGGCCACACUGGAACUGAGACACGGUCCAGACUACUACGGGAGGCAGCAGUAGGGAAUCUUCCGCAAUGGGCGAAAGCUUGACGGAGAAAAGCCGCGUGAGUGAAGAAGGUCUUCGGAUCGUAAAACUCUGUUAUUAGGGAAGAACAAAUGUGUAAGUAACUAUGCACGUCUUGACGGUACCUAAUCAGAAAGCCACGGCUAACUACGUG
rnacentral:rRNA from 1 species